rnacentral:rRNA from 1 species
CAAAGGUAGCAUAAUCAUUAGUCUUUUAAUUGGUGACUUGUAUGAAAGAUUGGAUGAGAUAUAAACUGUCUCUAAUUAAUUUAUAAAAUUUAAUUUUUUAGUAAAAAAGCUAAAAUAAACUUAAAAGACGAGAAGACCCUAUAGAGUUUAAUAAUUUAUUUAAUUAUUGUUAAUAUAUAAAUUUUAAAAUUAAAAUUAAAAAAAUUAUUUUGUUGGGGUGAUAGAAAAAUUAAAUUAACUUUUUUUUUAUUUUAUACAUUAAUUUAUGAAUAAAUGAUCCAUUAAUAGUGAUUAAAAGAAAAAAUUACCUUAGGGAUAACAGCGUAAUUUUUUUUUUUAGUUCAAAUAGAAAAAAGAGUUUGCGACCUCGAUGUUGGAUUAAGAUAAAAUUUAAAUGCAAAAG